AUAUAUAUAUAUAUAUAUAUAUAUAUAUAUAUAUAUAUAUAUAUAUAUAUAUGCAUUUUUUUGGCCAUUUUUUAAAUUUUUAUUUUUGAAGAUAUAUUUAAAAAAUAUCGAUAUAUUUUUAAAGCACUUUUUGCCCUCCAUAUAUUUCAAUUCAAUUCAAUUCACAUAUGCCAUGUUUAACGAAAAACAUAUAACACCUAUGAAUACAUGAUACAUUUGAAUAAAAAUAAAUAAUGAAUAAAUACAUUUUGAAAUAUUUUGGGAUAUGAAGGUUGAAAGUAGAUAUAUUUUAAAUUUCUAAAAUAUAUUUCAUAGAGCUUCACUGUUUACAGCAUAUAUUUAAAAUAUAUUUUAGCCAGAAAAAAAUAUAUAUAUUUUUGCCGUAUAAGACUGAACCGAAUGCAGUGACAAAACUGUUUUCAUAUAAAGCAACAGAAGCAUCUUCAUAAUCAUCAUUUUUAUAUGCGUAUAAUGUUUUAUAGUUAUCCAGCAUAAAUUCUACAUUAUAUUGGCCGAACGUGUGGUUAUUUACUUUGACAGUGAUUUGCUAAAAUGGUUUCCACAUGCUAAUUUGUUUUUGCAUGACCAAGCAGAUCAACAAAAAAAUUGAUUGGCUGAGAUGAUUAACAAGCGAUGUGAUUGGCCGAGACAGUUCUGGCCUGGUCGUAUUACUGAGGAUCCAUUUGCAAAACACUAAACGUCUACAAAGUUUCUCUGAACCCGUGUGUCAGUUUGAUUACGCUCAGUUGUCUGUUUAUCACUGACGGUAAUGUUGUUGAGUCAUUUUAUUUUCAGUGUACAAUGCAUAUACUGUAUAAACAUCUUAAAUCGUCAUGUUUUUGCAAAAAAGCAAACGAAUGUUAAAAGCUUUUAACACCCAAGAACAGUCUGACCAUCAUAAUGACAUUUAAUAUUUACCAAACAUAAUAACAUUUACCAAAGAGCAUCACACGCAAAAGUCUGUCAGGAUUAUGAUUAAUUUUUCUGAUGCAAGGAGUUUUUUUUUUUUUUAUGUAAAAUUGUUUUAAAAGUAUGCAAAACACUAUAAAAGUGUUUAUAUUUAAACUUAAUUGUGAUAUUAUUGCUCACACUAAUAUCAUCGUGCCAGAUUGUGUUGCUACAAUGCAAUGUUUUGAUAUUUUGGGAUAUGUAUGUAUUAUAUAUAAAGUUUGGGGUCAGAAAUUAAUACUUUUAUUCAUCAAGGAUAAAUUAAAUUGAUCAAAAGUGACAGUAAAGACAUUUAUAAUGUUACAAAAGAGUUCCAUUUCAAAUAAAUAUUGUUCUUUUGAACUUUCUAAUUAUUUGUGAAUCCUAAAAAAUAAAAUGCAUCACAGUUUCCACAAAAAUAUUGUGCUGCACAACUGUUUUCAACAUUGAUAAUAAUCAAAAUUUGUUUCUUGAGCAGCAAAUCAGCAUAUUAGAAUGAUUUCUGAAGAUCAUGUGACACUGAAGACUGGAGUAAUGAUGCUGAAAAUUCAGCAGCGCAUCACAGGAAUAAAUUACAUUUUAAUAGAUAUUAAUAUAGAAAACUGUUUUAAAUAGUAAUAAUAUUUCACAAUUUUUACAGUAUUUGCUGUAUAUUUGAUCAAAUAAAUGCAGCCCACAAUCUUAAAAAUAAAGGUGCUUCACGAUGCCGUAGAAGAAUUUUUUUUUUGUCCAAAUAGUUACAUAAAGAACUUUUAACAUCAGAAGAACCUUUCUGUUUCACAAAAGAUUCUUCAGAUUAUAAAAAGGUAAGAAAGAGAUGGUUCUUUAAAGAACUUUUGACUUAAUGGUUCUUUGUGGAACCAAAAAUGGUUCUUCUAUUGCAUCGCUGUGAAGAACCUUUUAAGCACCUUUAUUUUUAAGAAUGCAUGAGAAGUAACUGGAUAAAAACAACCUACUGUAUAGACAUUUUCUGCAUUUUAUUAAUUUUUUUUCAUCGAUGUGUUCAUGUUUUAGACACUUCAGCUGUUGGGAAUCUUUUCUUCUCUCUUUCAUUACCGUACAGACAUCAUCUGUGUAUAAUUUCCCUCAGUGAUAUUGAGCUCUUCUCCCCCAGAGAACGGUUCUGGGCUCUUUUUGAAUGUCGAAUGCAGUUCUUUUGAUAACACCGACUUCUUUUGAUUGUAUCUGUCUUUGUUUCCAUCUUCUGAAUGUGUUUCGAUUGUAAGACGAGGCAGAUCUCGACUUUCACAAGAAUCGUUUCAGUGAAUUUUAAGCGAAACUAAUUAAGAGUAGAGGAGUGAACACUGAGUGUGUGAAUGAUAUUCUCUUCUUAUUUUAAUGUGUGAUCAGUUUUAUUAUAAACAGAGAUGUUUCCAUGAUGGUGAUGGUUUCAGAGCGAACAAACAAAUAAACUUCCGUGUCAGACAUCAAA
ensembl:lncRNA